CGAGCGGGGAAGGGUAGCUUGCUACCUAACCUAGCGGCGGACGGGUGAGUAAUGCUUAGGAAUCUGCCAUUUAGUGGGGGACAACAUUCCGAAAGGAAUGCUAAUACCGCAUACGUCCUACGGGAGAAAGCAGGGGAUCUUCGGACCUUGCGCUAAAUGAUGAGCCUAAGUCGGAUUAGCUAGUUGGUGGGGUAAAGGCCUACCAAGGCGACGAUCUGUAGCGGGUCUGAGAGGAUGAUCCGCCACACUGGGACUGAGACACGGCCCAGACUCCUACGGGAGGCAGCAGUGGGGAAUAUUGGACAAUGGGCGGAAGCCUGAUCCAGCCAUGCCGCGUGUGUGAAGAAGGCCUUAUGGUUGUAAAGCACUUUAAGCGAGGAGGAGGCUACUUAGAUUAAUACUCUAGGAUAGUGGACGUUACUCGCAGAAUAAGCACCGGCUAACUCUGUGCCAGCAGCCGCGGUAAUACAGAGGGUGCGAGCGUUAAUCGGAUUUACUGGGCGUAAAGCGUGCGUAGGCGGCUUUUUAAGUCGGAUGUGAAAUCCCCGAGCUUAACUUGGGAAUUGCAUUCGAUACUGGGAAGCUAGAGUAUGGGAGAGGAUGGUAGAAUUCCAGGUGUAGCGGUGAAAUGCGUAGAGAUCUGGAGGAAUACCGAUGGCGAAGGCAGCCAUCUGGCCUAAUACUGACGCUGAGGUACGAAAGCAUGGGGAGCAAACAGGAUUAGAUACCCUGGUAGUCCAUGCCGUAAACGAUGUCUACUAGCCGUUGGGGCCUUUGAGGCUUUAGUGGCGCAGCUAACGCGAUAAGUAGACCGCCUGGGGAGUACGGUCGCAAGACUAAAACUCAAAGGAAUUGACGGAA
rnacentral:rRNA from 1 species